GACGAACGCUGGCGGCGUGCCUAAUACAUGCAAGUUGAGCGCUGAAGGUUGGUACUUGUACCAACUGGAUGAGCAGCGAACGGGUGAGUAACGCGUGGGGAAUCUGCCUUUGAGCGGGGGACAACAUUUGGAAACGAAUGCUAAUACCGCAUAAAAACUUUAAACACAAGUUUUAAGUUUGAAAGAUGCAAUUGCAUCACUCAAAGAUGAUCCCGCGUUGUAUUAGCUAGUUGGUGAGGUAAAGGCUCACCAAGGCGAUGAUACAUAGCCGACCUGAGAGGGGGAUCGGCCACAUUGGGACUGAGACACGGCCCAAACUCCUACGGGAGGCAGCAGGAGGGAAUCUUCGGCAAUGGACGAAAGCCUGACCGAGCAACGCCGCGUGAGUGAAGAAGGUUUUCGGAUCGUAAAACUCUGUUGGUAGAGAAGAACGUUGGUGAGAGUGGAAAGCUCAUCAAGUGACGGUAACUACCCAGAAAGGGACGGCUAACUACGUG
rnacentral:rRNA from 1 species